AUUCCAGCUCCAAUAGCGUAUAUUAAAGUUGUUGCGGUUAAAAAGCUCGUAGUUGGAUUUCUGCCGAGGACGACCGGUCCGCCCUCUGGGUGAGCAUCUGGCUCGGCCUGGGCAUCCUCUUGGAGAACGUAGCUGCACUUGACUGUGUGGGGCGGUAUCCAGGACUUUUACUUUGAGGAAAUUAGAGUGUUUCAAGCAGGCAUACGCCUUGAAUACAUUAGCAUGGAAUAAUAAGAUAGGACCUCGGUUCUAUUUUGUUGGUUUCUAGAGCUGAGGUAAUGAUUAAUAGGGAUAGUUGGGGGUAUUCAUAUUUGAUUGUCAGAGGUGAAAUUCUUGGAUUUUUCAAAGAUGAACAAGUGCGAAAGCAUUUACCAAGGAUGUUUUCAUCG
rnacentral:rRNA from 1 species